AUUUAAUGGACGAUGGGAACAAUGGAGCAGCUGGUCAAUGUUCAACUUCUGUACAAAGACAUGUGGAAGAGUUGUUCAAACCUACCAAAGAACACGAGAGUGUAAUAACCCUACACCAAAAUAUGAAGGAAGACAUUGUUAUGGAUCAAAGACUGAUUAUAAGCAUAAUAGCUCUUUCAUCAAAAAAUGUCCAGUCAAUGGUGUUUGGGAGAACUGGAGCACUUGGGCUUCCCAUGAUUAGUGCUCUGUUAUCUGUGGAAAAGGUGUCUUAUUAGAAAGUCGAUCAGGUUCCUGCAAUGUUCCAAAGUACGGAGGAAAAGAUUUUAAUGGAUAGAAAACGGAAACAAGAAAAUGUGCUUGCAAUAAAGGAUUUUGUCCGGUGAAUGGUGCUUGGUCCUCUUGGGGUGAAUGGGAAAAAGCUGGGAAAUGCUAUGUCACAUGUGUCACAUGUCAGACCAUUGCCGAAGCAACAGAUGGUACGAGAUUCGGUUUAUUGAUCCAUGGGCAAGGAAGAGAAGACGGAUAUGGCUACGCUGGAAACGUUGUCCGUCCGGGUAUUGUUUGAAAAUUGAAAAUAAUUUUGUUCCUUAUGUUAUA